UGGGGAAUAUUGCACAAUGGGGGAAACCCUGAUGCAGCGACGCCGCGUGAGCGAAGAAGUAUUUCGGUAUGUAAAGCUCUAUCAGCAGGGAAGAAAAUGACGGUACCUGAGUAAGAAGCUCCGGCUAAAUACGUGCCAGCAGCCGCGGUAAUACGUAUGGAGCAAGCGUUAUCCGGAUUUACUGGGUGUAAAGGGAGCGCAGGCGGCAGGGCAAGUCUGAUGUGAAAUACCGGGGCUCAACCCCGGAGCUGCAUUGGAAACUGUUCUGCUGGAGUGUCGGAGAGGCAGGCGGAAUUCCUAGUGUAGCGGUGAAAUGCGUAGAUAUUAGGAGGAACACCAGUGGCGAAGGCGGCCUGCUGGACGAUAACUGACGCUGAGGCUCGAAAGCGUGGGGAGCAAACAGG
rnacentral:rRNA from 1 species